rnacentral:lncRNA from 1 species
UUUGCAGGGAAAAAAUGGAAGCAGGAAUUGAAUGCCUAGCUUUGAAAAAUGGAAGCAGGAAUUGAAUGCCUAGCUGUGAAACCAGUAGGCCUCUGAGAGUUUCACUGUAUUUGCAAAAUAAGGGAUUUGGUUACAUGAUCUCCAAGUUUUAUUUUCUGCCAAAUAGUCCGUGGGUAACCAGGCUUCAGAGUUCCCCAAAUGGUCUGAUGAAACCCAUUGUGGGAAUGGACAAAGAAGUAAGGCUGCCUCCCAGGGUCACUCAGCUGCAUGGUGGCAGGAUGGAGGCUGGUGCCCGCACCUCUGAAAAGAAGGGCAAAGCCUUCUUUGCAUUGCACUUCCAGGCAUGGAUCACACUGACGCAGCCUGGUUCAUUUAUCCCUAGCUGUGCCUUCAACAGCAGCUGACAGAUGAUGGGACAAGUUCUGAUACAACUCACAGCCCUAAGCAUGAUUGGGACCUGCAGUGCUCAAAUCUGUACAAAGAAACAUAGGCCAGGUGCGGUGGCUCAGGCCUAUAAACCCAGCACUUUGGAGGUCGAGGCGGGCAGAUCACUUGAGGUCAGAAGUUCGAGACC